UACAGAAGGUUCCUGAGAGAAACUCUGGGCAAGAAGGGGACAGAAACUUCUAUCUUUGUGAAGAGGCAGGGUUACCCCGUUGCUAGGUAUGACACGGUCCCCUAAGAGCUGUGAUUGGUUGUCACAAAA